rnacentral:rRNA from 1 species
UACGUAGGGGGCAAGCGUUGUCCGGAAUCACUGGGCGUAAAGCGUGCGUAGGCGGUCGCGUGUGUCUGGGGUGAAAGUCCAGGGCUCAACUCUGGGAUUGCCUUGGAAACUGCGCGACUUGAGUACUGGAGAGGCAAGGGGAAUUCCGCGUGUAGCGGUGGAAUGCGUAGAUAUGCGGAGGAAUACCAGUGGCGAAGGCGCCUUGCUGGACAGUGACUGACGCUGAGGCACGAAAGCGUGGGGAGCAAACAGG